rnacentral:rRNA from 1 species
CCUACGGGAGGCAGCAGUGGGGGAUAUUGCACAAUGGGGGAAACCCUGAUGCAGCGACGCCGCGUGUGGGAAGACGGUCCUCUGGAUUGUAAACCACUGUCCCCAGGGACGAAGAUGACGGUACCUGGGGAGGAAGCUCCGGCGAAGUACGUGCCAGCAGCCGCGGUAAUACGUAGGGAGCGAGCGUUGUCCGGAAUUACUGGGUGUAAAGGGAGAGUAGGGGGGGAUGCAAGUUGGGUGUCAAAACUAACGGCUCAACUGGUAGGCGCACUAAAAACUGCAGCUGUUGAGUGAAGUAGAGGCAGGCGGAAUUGCUAGUAUAGCGGUGAAAUGCGUAGAUAAUAGGAGGAACACCAGUGGCGAAGGCGGCCUGGUGGGCUUUUACUGACGCUGAGGCUCGAAAGUGUGGGGAGCAACAGGAUUAGAUACCCGUGUAGU